rnacentral:rRNA from 1 species
ACCUGGUUGAUCCUGCCAGUAGUCAUAUGCUUGUCUCAAAGACUAAGCCAUGCAUGUCUAAGUAUAAGUUUUAUACGGCGAAACUGCGAAUGGCUCAUUAAAACAGUUAUAGUUUACUUGAUAAUUACAUCUACAUGGAUAACCGUGGUAAUUCUAGAGCUGAUACAUGCUGGCGUGCCCGACUUUUUGGAAGGGCGGUAUUUAUUAGAUAACAAGCCAAUAUUCCUUGUGUCUAUUGUGGUGACUCAUAAUAACUGAUCGAAUCGCACGGCUUUUCGCCGCGAUAAAUCAUUCAAGUUUCUGCCCCAUCAGCUUUCGAUGGUAGUGUAUUGGACUACCAUGGCAAUAACGGGUAACGGAGGAUUAGGGUUCGAUUCCGGAGAGGGAGCCUGAGAAACGGCUACCACAUCUAAGGAUGGCAGCAGGCGCGUAAAUUACCCAAUCCUGAUUCAGGGAGGUAGUGACAAGAAAUAACGAACCGUUAGUAUAUCUACGGGAUUGCAAUGAGCCGAAUUUUUCUUCCCUUGGUGAGGAACAAUUGGAGGGCAAGUCUGGUGCCAGCAGCCGCGGUAAUUCCAGCUCCAAUAGCAUAUAUUAAAGUUGUUGCAGUUAAAAAGCUCGUAGUUGGAUUUCUGCGAGAGUGUCAAUGUCCGCCCACGCGCGUGUGCAGCGACGCCCUCGCAUCCUUCUGUUACCUCCUCUCGGCAUUCACUUGCCGGUGGCUGGCUCAGAGAAUUUACCUUGAGAAAAUUAGAGUGUUUCAGGCAGGCUAGGCCGGAAUACAUUAGCAUGGAAUAAUG